rnacentral:rRNA from 1 species
ACGCCGCGUGGAGGAAGAAGGUCUUCGGAUUGUAAACUCCUGUUGUUGAGGAAGAUAAUGACGGUACUCAACAAGGAAGUGACGGCUAACUACGUGCCAGCAGCCGCGGUAAAACGUAGGUCACAAGCGUUGUCCGGAAUUACUGGGUGUAAAGGGAGCGCAGGCGGGAAGACAAGUUGGAAGUGAAAUCCAUGGGCUCAACCCAUGAACUGCUUUCAAAACUGUUUUUCUUGAGUAGUGCAGAGGUAGGCGGAAUUCCCGGUGUAGCGGUGGAAUGCGUAGAUAUCGGGAGGAACACCAGUGGCGAAGGCGGCCUACUGGGCACCAACUGACGCUGAGGCUCGAAAGUGUGGGUAGCAAACAGGAUUAGAUACCCUGGUAGUCCACACCGUAAACGAUGAUUACUAGGUGUUGGAGGAUUGACCCCUUCAGUGCCGCAGUUAACACAAUAAGUAAUCCACCUGGGGAGUACGACCGCAAGGUUGAAACUCAAAGGAAUUGACGGGGGCCCGCACAAGCAGUGGAGUAUGUGGUUUAAUUCGACGCAACGCGAAGAACCUUACCAAGUCUUGACAUCCUGCGACGAUGCUGGAAACAGUAUUUUCCUUCGGGACGCAGAGACAGGUGGUGCAUGGUUGUCGUCAGCUCGUGUCGUGAGAUGUUGGGUUAAGUCCCGCAACGAGCGCAACCC